AUUUAACGCUGGCGGCAUGCCUUACACAUGCAAGUCGAACGGUAACAGGUCUUCGGAUGCUGACGAGUGGCGAACGGGUGAGUAAUACAUCGGAACGUGCCCGAUCGUGGGGGAUAACGGAGCGAAAGCUUUGCUAAUACCGCAUACGAUCUACGGAUGAAAGCAGGGGACCGCAAGGCCUUGCGCGGACGGAGCGGCCGAUGGCAGAUUAGGUAGUUGGUGGGACAAAAGCUUACCAAGCCGACGAUCUGUAGCUGGUCUGAGAGGACGACCAGCCACACUGGGACUGAGACACGGCCCAGACUCCUACGGGAGGCAGCAGUGGGGAAUUUUGGACAAUGGGCGAAAGCCUGAUCCAGCCAUGCCGCGUGCAGGAUGAAGGCCUUCGGGUUGUAAACUGCUUUUGUACGGAACGAAAAGCCUCUUUCUAAUAAAGAGAGGUCAUGACGGUACCGUAAGAAUAAGCACCGGCUAACUACGUGCCAGCCGCCGCGGUAAUAC
rnacentral:rRNA from 1 species